rnacentral:rRNA from 1 species
GGUCAAGCUACAAAGGGCGCAUGGUGAAUGCCUUGGCAUCAGGAGCCGAUGAAGGACGUGAUAAGCUGCGAUAAGCUUCGGGUAGGCGCACAUAGCCAGAGAUCCGAAGAUUUCCGAAUGAGGAAACUCACAUGGG